UACGUAGGGACCGAGCGUUGUCCGGAAUCAUUGGGCGUAAAGAGCGUGUAGGCGGCCACUUAAGUCCUGCGUGAAAUCUUGCGGCUCAACCGCAAGCGGUCGUGGGAAACUGGGUGGCUAGAGUGCGGGAGAGGAGAGUGGAAUUCCUGGUGUAGCGGUGGAAUGCGCAGAUAUCGGGAAGAACACCCGUGGCGAAGGCGGCUCUCUGGGACGGUACUGGACGCUGAGACGCGAAAGCGUGGGGAGCGAACAGG
rnacentral:rRNA from 1 species